UGAUGACGAGACGCUAAGGCGUUGAAGCAGUGUAUGUCAGACUUCCAAGAAAAGCUCGCAAUGUCACAAAUAAAAACUGCCUGUACCAUAACCGACACAGGUGGGUAGGUAGAGUAUACUAAGGGGCGCGAGAUAACUCUCUCUAAGGAACUCGGCAAAAUGACUCCGUAACUUCGGGAGAAGGAGUGCCUUAUUUAUAAGGUUGCAAUAACAAGAUCCAAGCAACUGUUUAUCAAAAACACAGGUCUCCGCUAAGUCGUAAGACGAUGUAUGGGGGCUGACGCCUGCCCAGUGCCAGAAGGUUAAAGAAGUUGGUUAGUGUAUGCGAAGCUGAUGACUGAAGCCCUGGUGAAUGGCGGCCGUAACUAUAACGGUCCUAAGGUAGCGAAAUUCCUUGUCGGGUAAGUUCCGACCCGCACGAAAGGCGUAAUGAUUUGGAUACUGUCUCGGAGAGAGGCUCGGUGAAAUAGACUUGUCUGUGAAGAUGCGGACUACCUGCACCAGGACAGAAAGACCCUAUGAAGCUUUACUGUAACUUGAAAUUGGAAUUGGACUUUGCUUGCGCAGUAUAGGUGGGAAGCGUUGAAAAUAUUCUUGCGGGAGUAUUGGAGCUAUCAGUGAGAUACCACUCUUGUAAUGUUAGAUUUCUAACUUUGAACCAUAAUCUGGUCAAAGAACAGUUUCAGGUGGGCAGUUUGACUGGGGCGGUCGCCUCCCAAAUGGUAACGGAGGCGUACAAAGGUUUCCUCUGAACGGAUAGAAAUCGUAUCUAGAGUGUAAAGGCAUAAGGAAGCUUGACUGUGAGACCUACAAGUCGAGCAGGGACGAAAGUCGGUCUUAGUGAUCUGACGGUACUGAGUGGAAAGGCCGUCACUCAACGGAUAAAAGUUACUCUAAGGAUAACAGGCUGAUCUCCCCCAAGAGUUCACAUCGACGGGGAGGUUUGGCACCUCGAUGUCGGCUCAUCGCAUCCUGGGGCGGUAGUACGUCCCAAGGGUUGGGCUGUUCGCCCAUGAAAGCGGUACGCGAGCUGGGUUCAGAACGUCGUGAGACAGUUCGGUCCAUAUCCGGUGUAGGCGCUAGAAUAUUGAGAGGAGCCUUCUUUAGUACGAGAGGACCGAGAAGGACACACCGCUGGUGUACCAGUUAUCGUGCCAACGGUAAACGCUGGGUAGCUAUGUGUGGAGUGGAUAACCGCUGAAAGCAUCUAAGUGGGAAGCCCACCUCGAGAUGAGUAUUC
rnacentral:rRNA from 1 species